ACGGCGAGUGUGGAGGGAAGAGCCCAAGAUUGAAAGCUGGCGUCUUCGGCGUCCGCAUUGUAAUCUCAAGAAGUGUUUUCCGCUUCGGACCAUGCCUAAGUCCCUUGGAAAAGGGCAUCAUAGAGGGUGAUAAUCCCGUACAUGGCAUGGAGCGCCCGAAGCUUUGUGAUACGCUUUCUAAGAGUCGAGUUGUUUGGGAAUGCAGCUCAAAAUGGGUGGUAAAUGCCAUCUAAGGCUAAAUAUUGGGGAGAGACCGAUAGCGAACAAGUACAGUGAUGGAAAGAUGAAAAGAACUUUGAAAAGAGAGUUAAACAGUACGUGAAAUUGCCAAAAGGGAAGGGUAGGAGGUCAGAGAUGCGGCCUGGGAUUCAGCCUUGCUUUUGCUUGGUGUUUUUCCUAGAUUGCAGGCCAACGUCGGUUUUGGGCACUGGAGAAGGGUAGGAGGAACGUGGCACCUCUCGGGGUGUGUUAUAGCCUCCUACUGGAUACAGCGACCGAGACCGAGGACAGCAGCGUACUCGCAAGAGCGGGCCUUCGGGCACCUUUACGCUUAGGGCGUUGGCAUAAUGGCCCUCUACCACCCGUCUUGAAACCACGGACCACUG
rnacentral:rRNA from 1 species